rnacentral:misc_RNA from 1 species
UCUCCGUAGGUGAACCUGCGGAGGGAUCAUUACAGAGUUUUGGCCCGUUAGGGUAGCUCUCCCACCCUAUGUUAUUCCUUUUCUGUUGCUUUGGCGGCCCGUCCGGCCUCGGUCAGGCCACCGGCUCCGCCUGGUGUGCGCCCGCCAGAGGACCCCACGCCCUAAAUGUCGGUGUCGUCUGAGUACUAUAUAAUAGUUAAAACUUUCAACAACGGAUCUCUUGGUUCUG